CCUACGGGAGGCAGCAGUGGGGAAUAUUGCACAAUGGGGGAAACCCUGAUGCAGCGACGCCGCGUGAGUGAAGAAGUAUUUCGGUAUGUAAAGCUCUAUCAGCAGGGAAGAAGAAAGACGGUACCUGACUAAGAAGCACCGGCUAACUACGUGCCAGCAGCCGCGGUAAUACGUGGGGGGCAAGCGUUAUCCGAAUUUACGGGGUGAAAAGUGAUCGUAGACGGCUGUGAAAGUCUGAAUGGAAUGCCCAGGGCUCAACCCUGGGACUGCUUUGGAAACUGUGGAGCUAGAGUGCUGGAGGGGUAAGUGGAAUUCCUAGUGUAGCGGUGAAAUGGGUAGAUAUUAGGAGGAACACCAGUGGCGAAGGCGGCUUACUGGACAGUAACUGACGUUGAGGCUCGAAAGCGUGGGGAGCAAACAGGAUUAGAUACCCAAUAGUC
rnacentral:rRNA from 1 species